rnacentral:rRNA from 1 species
UACAGAGGUCCCGAGCGUUGUUCGGAUUCAUUGGGCGUAAAGGGUGCGUAGGCGGCGGGGCAAGUCUGAUGUGAAAUCCUGGGGCUCAACCCUGGAACUGCAUUGGAUACUUCCUUGCUAGAGUACUGGAGAGGAAACUGGAAUUUACGGUGUAGCAGUGAAAUGCGUAGAGAUCGUAAGGAAGACCAGUGGCGAAGGCGAGUUUCUGGACAGUUACUGACGCUGAGGCACAAAGGCCAGGGGAGCAAACGGG